GCCGGUUUGGCUCAGUGGAUAGAGCGUUGGCCUGUGGACUCAAGGGUCCCAGGUUCGAUUCCGGGCAGAGGCC
rnacentral:tRNA from 1 species